CCUACGGGAGGCUGCAGUGGGGAAUAUUGGACAAUGGGGGGAACCCUGAUCCAGCCAUGCCGCGUGUGUGAAGAAGGCCCUCGGGUUGUAAAGCACUUUCAGUGAGGAAGAACGCCUGGUGGUUAAUACCCAUCAGGAAAGACAUCACUCGCAGAAGAAGCACCGGCUAACUCCGUGCCAGCAGCCGCGGUAAUACGGAGGGUGCGAGCGUUAAUCGGAAUUACUGGGCGUAAAGCGCGCGUAGGUGGCUUGAUAAGCCGGUUGUGAAAGCCCCGGGCUCAACCUGGGAACGGCAUCCGGAACUGUCAAGCUAGAGUGCAGGAGAGGAAGGUAGAAUUCCCGGUGUAGCGGUGAAAUGCGUAGAGAUCGGGAGGAAUACCAGUGGCGAAGGCGGCCUUCUGGACUGACACUGACACUGAGGUGCGAAAGCGUGGGUAGCAAACAGGAUUAGAUACCCCUGUAGUC
rnacentral:rRNA from 1 species